UACAGAGGGUGCGAGCGUUGUUCGGAAUUACUGGGCGUAAAGCGCGUGUAGGCGGCCCUGCAAGUCGGGUGUGAAAUCCCAUGGCUCAACUAUGGAAGUGCACUCGAAACUGCAGGGCUAGAGUCCUGGAGAGGAAGGUGGAAUGCUUGGUGUAGAGGUGAAAUUCGUAGAUAUCAAGCGGAACACCGGUGGCGAAGGCGGCCUUCUGGACAGUGACUGACGCUGAGACGCGAAAGCGUGGGGAGCGAACAGG
rnacentral:rRNA from 1 species